rnacentral:rRNA from 1 species
CCUACGGGAGGCAGCAGUGAGGAAUAUUGGUCAAUGGGCGGAAGCCUGAACCAGCCAAGUCGCGUGAGGGAUUAAGGCCCUAUGGGUCGUAAACCUCUUUUGUCAGGGAGCAAGGUCGUCCAAGUGUGGGCGUAUGGAGAGUACCUGAAGAAACAGCAUCGGCUAAUACCGUGCCAGCAGCCGCGGUAAUACGGAGGAUGCGAGUGUUAUCCGGAUUUAUUGGGUUUAAAGGGUGCGUAGGCGGGACCUUAAGUCAGCGGUAAAAUUGCGGUGCUCAACGCCGUAGAGCCGUUGAAACUGGGGCUCGUGAGUGAUCGAGAGGUAUGCGGAAUGCGUGGUGUAGCGGUGAAAUGCAUAGAUAUCACGCGGAACUCCGAUUGCGAAGGCAGCAUACCGGCGCCCGACUGACGCUGAGGCACGAAAGCGUGGGUAUCGAACAGGAUUAGAUACCCGUGUAGUC